GUGCUGGUGGAUGGCUCAGGACAGGGCAGUUGCCGUGGGAGGCCUGCCGUCUGCUGAAAGGAAGAUGGUUGAUGCUUCUGAGCAAUGAAGGCCCCAUGGAGUCCUGGAUUCGGUGUGGCCUUGCAUCCGUGGUGCACCCCGUGCUGGUGGAUGGCUCAGGACGGGGCAGUUGCCAUGGGAGGCGCAGGCCUGCUGGAAGGAAGAUGGUCGAUUCUCCCAAGCAACAAAGGCCACGUAGAGUCCUGGUUUCAGUGUGGCCUGGUAUCCACAGUGCACCCCGUGCUGGUGGGUGGCUCAGGACGCACACUCAUUUCCUCUGCACCUUCCUGGUGUCAUUGGCAUGGAAGGAAGGCCCUUGUCCAAGAAGGAUGGUCUUCGUCUUGUGUGAUCUUUGAGAUGCCAUGAGGCCCCUGGAUACAAAUGGUGUGGGCUCCUUUGGAGGCUUUUGGAUUUCUCCUGAAUGUGGCGUUGGUAUGGAAGGAAGGCCAGUGACCGCAAGGGAUGACUUUGAUCUUGGGAGAUUUUUGGAGAUGGCAAAGUGCUUCUAAACAUGUUUGGCAUGGUCUCCUUCAGGCUGGUGGAUACCUCAGGAUGGUGGCGUUGGCAUGGAAGGAAGGACUGUGUCUGUGAGGGAUGAUCAUCCUCUCAUGUGAUCCUUGGAGAUGCCAGGAAGCCCCUUGACACAUGUGGCAUGGGCUCCUUCAGAGGCUUUUGGAUCCGUCGUGAAUGUGGCAUGGGCAUGCAAAGAAAGACAGAGGCUGCAAGGGAUAAACUUCAUCUUGGGAGAUCCCUGGAGAUGGCAGGGAACCCAUGGACACAUGUGGCAUGGGCUCCUUUGGGUGCCGGUGGAUCCCUUCAUACGGUAAAGCCAGAGUUGGGUAUCAACCAGAUACACUGCAGGGGAUCAGAGGACAUGGCCUUUGUGUACUGCACAUCUGUCAGAUUUUCUCAAGCACACCCGUGUUUCCUCUUCACCUCCCACGUGGAAGUGAUGAAUUGGCCAGGACCAUGUUGGUGAGGGACAAUCAUCAUCUCAUGUUAACCUCAGAGAAGCCAGGAAGCUCCUGGACACACAUGGUGUAGGCUUCCUUGGAGGCUGUUGGAUCUCUCCUGAAUGUAGUGUUGGUGUAAAAGGCAAACCCGUGUCAUGAGGGAUGGUCAUCAUCUUGUGUGAUCCUUGGAGAUGGCAGGAAGCCCUGGACAUACAUGGUGUGGGGGCUCCUCCAGAGGCUGUUGGGAUCCUCCUGGAUGUGGUGUGGGCAUGGAAGGAAGGCCAGUGGAGACAAUGGAUGAUCUUGUUCUUAGCAGAUCACUGGAUGUGGCAGGGAGUCCUAGGACAUGUGUGGUGUGGGCUUCUUCAGGUGCUGGUGGUGUUGGCAUGAGGAAAGGAGGUAUCUUCGAGGGACAAUCUUCUUCUUGUGCGAUCCUUGGAGAUGCCAUGAGGCCCCUGGACACAUGUGGUGUGGGCUCCUUUGGAGGCUGUUGUAUCCCUUCUGAAUGUGGUGUUGGCAUGAAAGGCAGGCUUGUAUCAUGAGGAAUGAUUGUCAUCUUGUCUGAUUCUUGGAGAUGGCAGGAAGCCCCUGGAAACACAUGGUGUGGACUCUUUCACAGGCUGUUGAAACCCUCCUGAAUGUGAGGCCAGAGACAGGCAGACAGCAGAUGUAUUGCAGGGAGCUGGAUGACAUGGCCCUUGGAACCUGUGCACAUGCCUGCCUUUCUGAUGCACGUCCAUGUUUUCUCUGCACCUCCCCGGUGGUGUUGGUAUAAAAAGCAGGCUUACAUCAGCAAGGGAUGAUUGUCGUCUCAUGCGAUCCUGGGAGAUGGCAGAAGUCCCGGGACACAUGGAGUGUGGGCUCUUUCGGAGGCUGUUGGAUCCCUCCUGAAUGUGUUGUGGCCAUGGAAGUAAGGCCAGUGGCUACGAGGGACAGUCUUCAUCUUGGGAGAUCCCUAGAGAGGGCAGGGAGCCCCUUGACAUGUGGAAUGUGAUCUCUGUUGGGUGCUGGUGGAUCCCACAGGUGGUCUGGCAUGGAAGAAGGCCAGAGGCUGCGAUGGAUCAUCUUUGUCUUGGGAGAUUCCUGGAGAUGGUGGGGAGCCCCUGGGCACGUGCAGCAUAUGUGGCGUGGGCUUCUUCAGGUGCUGGUGGAUCCCUCAGGAUGCUUUUCAAGGUUUUUCUAUGAGUUCUGUUAAAGAGUCUGAAAAUGGAGCGUAGAAGACAUGCUUCGAUUUCCAGGAUGGUUGUGUUUUCCAGAGAGGCGGAGUUCAUUGUGGAACCAGCACAGAUUUUCAUACGAAAGUUAUUUCUUUUUAACCUCAAAAAGUGACAGAAUGGAGUGUAUCAUGAAAAAGUCUGACAUCAAAACCUCAAAAUGUGAUAUUGAUUGGGUGAGAUAGAAUUCCAUGGAAUUUCAUUGCCAAACCAGUGAAGUGCUAAUUUUGACAUUUGUACCAGCUAACGUAGCUGUGAAGAAACACACCAAUACACUUCUAAGGACAGCAUAGACCAAGAUCUAGGUUUCAUAUGGAUGAAUUUAUUCUUCCCUUUGAGGCAAGACAAGAAGGAAAGAAAGUAUUGGGAAUAAUGCUGCCCUCCCAUCCUCAAGGGCCAGUGGGAACUCUAAUAUUGAUUGGGUGAGAUACAAUUCCAUGGAAUUUUACCACUGAACCAGUGGAGGGCUAAUUUUGUCAUUUGUACCAGUUAACUAACUUGGGAGGAAACAGAACAACACACUCCUGAGGGUAAAAUGGAAACUCUGAGAGUUUGGUUGGCGGCAUCUAUAUACCAUAGAAACAGAGCCUGGGAAGCAGAACAGUGAGACCCAAGAGAAAUGUUCCUGCCUAUACUUGAUUGGUUUUCACAGAAUUCCAUGGACUUUAACUGCUGAACCAAUGAUGCACUGAUUUUGUCACUUGUACCAGCUAACGCAUCUGGGAGGCAACAAAACAAUACUCUCCUGAGGUUAAUGUGGACCAAAAACUAGAUUUCAUAUAAAAGAGUUUAUUCCUUCUACUUGAGGUGUGACAUGAAGGAAAGUAAUGGAAAUAAUUCUGCCCUCCCAUUCUCAAGGGCCAGGGGGAAUUCAAAUAUUGAACGGAAGUGAUUUUGGAAUUGCAUGGAAUUCUCACUGCCAUCCCAAAGAAAUGCUGAUCUUGUCACUCUUACCUGUUUCAUUCCCUGGGGGCAGAACAAAAGGACGCACUCCAAAGAUCGGCAUGAACCAAGAACUGGGUUUCAUAUAAAAUAUUUUAUUCUGUCCUCUUGAGAUGUGACAUGAGAAAAGUAUUGAGAAUACUUCUAUCACCUCAUCUUCAAGAAUCCGUAGGAAUUCUCCCAUGGUGGACUUUACGGUUAACCUGAACAGGUCUUGGAAAAAGGACUUUAAACAUUCUCCUGUUCUGUGGAAUAAGUAUACUUUUUUCUGGACAUACACCUUGUCAGUUCCAUGUGAUACUAGAGUUGCAUAGAUUUUUAACCUUUACGCCAAUGAAGAUCUGAGGCAAACAUUGCCCCUUUUUUAGAAGUUUGCAUUUGUCACUGAUAACUGUAAUAAUUGAUCUUGUUGAAAAGCCUGGGAAAUGAAGAUCUGAUAUGUCACUUUUACCGGCUUCCUCAACUGAAAAAGAAUACAAUGAAACACGCUGAGAAUUUUUGUGCUUUCUCAGUCUUGCUGAUGAUCUUUCUAUGGGCCUGAAGCGUGGAGAGUGCCAGAGAGGCUGAUCCUCAGCAGUGUGGCAGAGGAAAGUUGGGUGCGACUAAGGGGUAUGCGGUGCCCACAUGCCACUGGGUCCUCAGCAGUACCACCUGAUUGGAAGUGAUAUUGGUGGAAGACAACAUUUUGCCGCUUGGAAUUCUCACCUCCACACCAAAGAAGUACUGUUUUUGUCAUUUGCACCAGCUUCUUUCUCCAGGAAAGAUCAAAACGAUGCACUGCAAGUGUGAUUGGUCCAGAUAGCUGCCUUAUCCAACUGCCUCCUUUGGACCACUUCAUCAUGGGACAGCUUGAUGCAAUCUACUUGACAAGACCCUGGAACCCCACACCCCUCAUGGAACCAGUGUCCACCUCCCAGUCACAGUGUGACCCCAGGGAACUCUUGCCUGCUUGCUUUAAACCCACCACUUAAAAGUCUCCACAGAAAACCUGUUUGAAUAGUACCCUUGACCCAAUAAGGGCAUUGGCCCCUGGGUGUCUCUCUCUCUCUCUCUCUCUCUCUCUCCCUCUCUCUCCCUCUCUCUCUCUCGCUCCCUGACCUCUGCGUGUGGACUCCAGGCAUGCCAUAUACCCCUCAGGACCUGAAGCAAAAGAAUGAAUUAAAGAAAACUCCAGAGAAUGAGCUGACAACCUACUCCCUGGUCAGUGGCUCUCCAUGCCUACCUGUGGUCUCUUGGACACCCUUGCAGAAGAUGACUUCCUGGGAACUCUUCUGGGAGUGAAUGUUAUCAGCAAAUUCCCAAAACAACACCCCUUAGACAAAAAGCCUCCUCACCUAUGCAUUGCCUAGACCACCCACUAAAGGUGAUGGCCACAAAGAGGUGGAUUUGUUGAGUUGGUGCCAUUCCUUCUACUGCCAGCUUCACCAAAACAAUGACACAGUCUUCCUUCCGCAUGGAGACUCUUCUCUUUCCUGUGUUGCAGUGGAUGCCUCCUGCAGAUAAGAAAUGCUUAACUGAGAAAUGCUCAUGUUGGGAUAUCAUCGAUGAGACUUUAAUUUGGGCAUGGUGACUGUUUCCCUUGCUGCCACUUGACUCAAUCCCAGGAGCCUCAGUAGAGGAUAUAAUAUUACACAAGAUGCUCAAAAUGGUGGAAUUGCUCAGUGCUCCCAUAAAUAUACAUUUAUAAUUUUCAUUUGCCACAUGGUAAACUGAAAAAUACAGACUAUAUUAAAAAGAAACUGCAUGAUUUUUUUUCAAAAAUUCAAAGCAUAUUUAAAUAAUAUAUAAAUUAAAUGCCCUCCUCUCUUCCAAUUCUGUCCCUAUAGUUUUCCUCUAUUAAGUGAACUACAUGCAUUCUUUUAGUGGAUAGAUGCACACAAACACACAAGCCAUUAUGGGGAAGGAUCCACGUGUGUGGCCAUAUUGUAACACAUUUUUCUGCAAAUCACCUCUUUCAUUUAACAGCCCUUAUUCAAUGGCCUUUUUCUUUUUCAGUAGUACAUACACAUCUGUGUCAUUUGUUGAAUGACGACAUGAAUGUUUUGUAGAUAAAAUAUAAUUAAAUGUUUUAAGCAUUUCUCACUCAUAGAUAUUUAUGUUAGCACCAAAUUUCUGUGCAAUGAACCUCCCUAUAUAUCAGUAAUUUUGCAUUUGUCUAUAAUAUCAUAAUAAAUUACUUAUCAGUUGAAUUACUGGGAUUAAGUAUGUGCACACUUUAUAUUUAUAUUUUGAAAAUUAUUGCAAGAUUGCCUUCAAAAAUGUGGUUAACAACUUUAUCUUCAAAUGGCAAUGAAUGAGAUUGCCAGCUUUCCUACAGCCUCACAGACAAUGGAUUUUAUAAAUAUUUAACAUUUUUGCCAAUGUGAUCACCCAAACUAUUGUCUUAAAUUGUAUCUCUUUUGUUUUUGAGUUUGGUCAUUUUUUCAUGUUUAUUAGCCAUCUGUAUUUUUUAAUUUCUUCUUUAUGUCCAAUUUUGUGGGUGGGAGGAGGAUUUAGUCUCUUCCUGAUUUCGAAGAGCUCAUUUACUAUUUCGGGAAAUAAGAUUUGGAUUGUCAACCAUUAUAGCUAUUUUUUACACACUUUUCAACUUUGUUUUUGUUAUAAGAAUGUGUAUGAUUGUUACAUGUCCAAGUAUAACCAUGUUCGCUUUUAUGGCUUCUGAGUUUCAUGUCAUUUUUGGAAAGAUAUAUAUAUUGAGUCCAUAAAACCCUUCACCUAUGUUAAAUUCUAAUUCUUUUGUGUUUUUUUAAUUCAAAUUCUUAAAUCAUGAGAAAUUUUUUUGUUUUGAAAUCUUAAAGUUGCCAAGUUACUUGCCAUUACUUGCGAUUAUUUGCCAAUAAUUGCCCAUUUAUCUGUACCGCCAUCUUGCGCAUAUGCUGUACUCUCAUCUGUGACUGGCUCCAUUUUUGUUCUGUGGAUUUGUGUGUCUCUUCUUCUGCCUCCUGUCUCGUGUCUGCUCGUUGGAAGAAAUUACAGUUUAGACUGCAAUUUCAUCAACUUUAAUAAAUCAAUUGAGGGGAGAAUUGGUUUUUAAAAAUAUUAAGUAAGUCUUCGUAUCCAAGGACAAGGUAUGUCUUUUCUUAUUCAAUAAUUUUAAUUACUGUUAAUAUUUUCACUGUGGUGAUGGGAGUUUUUCUUUUAAUUUAUUUUCUUGUUCAUUUUUUGUAUCUAAAGUUUUUGUUUUGUUUUGUUUUGGGGGUAAGUUGUCACCUUACUGUUUCUUGUUGCUUUUCAGAUUUUUUCAAAGUAUAGACUAAAUCCUUCACAAAUAUUUAAAGUUUUUAUUUUCCCCCUUCAUAUUGAUCCUGAUUUUAGUUAUGUUGACAAAGUCCACAGACUGUUACUAUCAGAACACUUGAACAGUUAUGGAAAUAUUACCUACCCUUGAUUUAAUCAGAGUUUAAUGGUAUGCUUCUUUGGUUUGACUGGCACAUUGUCGCUGGUCAUUUCCUCCCAAAGACCACCAGAAAGAGCUAUGAUCAAGCAAAGCUGAGUUUGUUAAACUUACCUGCAGCAAGGGAAAACACCACCUUGAUAGGGUUUAAUAAUGUUUCAAAAUCAAGAAAUGAGGCUUUGGGGUCUGGGCAGGGAACUAAUUAGAAAUGGGCAAAAUUUGUCAUGCAAUACCUUGUGGGAAAGUGAGAUGAGGUUCUUAAUGUGAGUAUUGAUGGUGAAAUCAUUUUCUAGGUGAGCUGUUUGCCUAUAUAAAGAUGUUAUCAAUGACAGAAGAACUAUUUGCCUAGAUAAACAAACUGAAUUUAUUUAUUGGUUUACAGUUUUAUCUUGCUGGGCAGGACUCUGCUGGGGGUGGUAUCAGGUCUUAUUCCCAAUAGGUAAGUUAUUUGGAUAUGGGUGGUCUUAAUCAUCAAUGUGUAAAAUGCUGAUUUUAAGUGCGAAAUACUUUGUCUACCAUGUUAGGAAAGUCUGCCACCUUUUAUCUUUUUUAAGGAAUUUUAAUCAAAACCAGGUGGUAGAUAUAAUCAAAUUGUUUUGCAGAAUCAAUUUUCCUGUUCUCUUUAAAGACUUUUAUCACUGUGAAUUAAUUUACUAUUAUUGCAACUUCCUUUAAUUCCUUGAAUGAACAGACCCUACUGGUUUUAAAAAUGUUUUAUUCUUUUAAUUUACUACUUAAUUGUGGGUAUUUUAAUUUGAUUUGGAAUUUUUACAAGUAUACAACUAAGUGAAAUUGAUCUGUGAUUUUUCUUUUUUGUGCUAUUUUUGUCAUGUUUUGAUAUCAGAUAUUCUGGUUGUGUUAAAAUAAUUUUGAGGAUUUUCUUCUUAUACUGUGUUCUAGAGUGGGUAAAAAAGCCCUAGUCUCACUAUCAGUGUUUAAGUGAACACAUCAGUGACAUCAUCUGGACUCUCCUUUGUUUUUGCUGGUUUGGAGUUAGGACAUCUAGAAGUUUUUUUCUUUUUUUCCUUUUUUUGUAUGGUUAUUGCUUGUUCUUUGUUUUGUGUCAAAUUUAACCUGUUUUCUCUUAGCAAAUCACAGCUCAUGCAGAUUUUCAAACACAUUAGCCUUGUUAUACAAAGUGUUCUUUCAUCAUUCUAUUAAAUUUCCAUUUUCAUUCCAGUUAUAGUUAUUUCUGCUGUGCCUUUGUUAAUGAAUAAGUUUAAACAGUGGAUGUUUAGCAUCACUAGCCUUCCCCUUCCAUCUCCCUUAAUCAGGACCUUGGUAUAAUUUAUCAGGUAUUUUUUAAGGUUCUAAUUUACUUAUAUAUAUUGUUUCUGUAUUCUUUUGUUUCUUUUCUUAAUAAAUUCUUAAA
rnacentral:lncRNA from 1 species